rnacentral:rRNA from 1 species
AGAUUGAACGCUGGCGGCAGGCCUAACACAUGCAAGUCGAGCGGUAGAGAGGUGCUUGCACCUCUUAAGAGCGGCGGACGGGUGAGUAAUGCCUAGGAAUCUGCCUAGUGGUGGGGGAUAACGUUCGGAAACGGACGCUAAUACCGCAUACGUCCUACGGGAGAAAGCGGGGGACCUUCGGGCCUCGCGCCAUUAGAUGAGCCUAGGUCGGAUUAGCUAGUUGGUGAGGUAAUGGCUCACCAAGGCGACGAUCCGUAACUGGUCUGGAGAGGAUGAUCAGUCACACUGGAACUGAGACACGGUCCAGACUCCUACGGGAGCAGCAGUGGGAAUA